AGUGAACGCUGGCGGUAGGCCUAACACAUGCAAGUCGAACGGCAGCACCGUAAGAGCUUGCUCUUACGGGUGGCGAGUGGCGGAUGGGUGAGGAAUACAUCGGAAUCUACUUUUUCGUGGGUGACAACGUGGGGAAACUUACGAUAAUACCGCAUACGACCUACCGGUGAAAUCAGGGGAUCUUCGGACCUUGCGUGAUUGAAUGAGCCGAUGUCGGAUUAGCUAGUUGGCGGGGUAAAGGCCCACCAAGGCGACGAUCCGUAGCUGGUCUGAUACGAUGAUCGGCCACACUGGAACUGAGACACGGUCCAGACUCCUACGGGAGGCAGCAGUGGGGAAUGUUGGCCGAUGGGCGGAAGCCUGAUAGAGCAAUACCGCGUGGGUGAGGAAGGCCUUCGGUUUGUAAAGCCCUUUUGUUGGGAAAGAAUAGCAGCAGGUUUAUACCCUGCUGUUCUGACGGUACCCAAAGAAUAAGCACCGGCUAACUUCGUG
rnacentral:rRNA from 1 species